rnacentral:rRNA from 1 species
UGCAAGUCGAACGGAAAGGCCCCUUCGGGGGUACUCGAGUGGCGAACGGGUGAGUAACACGUGGGUGAUCUGCCCCAAACUCUGGGAUAAGCCUGGGAAACUGGGUCUAAUACUGGAUAUGACCUUCUGCUUCAUGGUGGUUGGUGGAAAGCUUUUGCGGUUUGGGAUGGGCCCGCGGCCUAUCAGCUUGUUGGUGGGGUAAUGGCCUACCAAGGCGACGACGGGUAGCCGACCUGAGAGGGUGAUCGGCCACACUGGGACUGAGACACGGCCCAGACUCCUACGGGAGGCAGCAGUGGGGAAUAUUGCACAAUGGGCGCAAGCCUGAUGCAGCGACGCCGCGUGAGGGAUGACGGCCUUCGGGUUGUAAACCUCUUUCGGCAGGGACGAAGCGCAAGUGACGGUACCUGCAGAAGAAGCACCGGCCAACUACGUGCCAGCAGCCGCGGUAAUACGUAGGGUGCGAGCGUUGUCCGGAAUUACUGGGCGUAAAGAGCUCGUAGGCGGUUUGUCGCGUCGUCUGUGAAAUUCUGCAACUCAAUUGCAGGCGUGCAGGCGAUACGGGCAGACUUGAGUACUACAGGGGAGACUGGAAUUCCUGGUGUAGCGGUGAAAUGCGC